rnacentral:rRNA from 1 species
AGCUUUCUGGAUCAUUACUGACACUGAGAACGAAAGCAUGGGUAGCGAAGAGGAUUAGAUACCCUCGUAGUCCAUGCCGUAAACGAUGUGUGUUAGACGUUGGAAAUUUAUUUUCAGUGUCGCAGCGAAAGCGAUAAACACACCGCCUGGGGAGUACGACCGCAAGGUUAAAACUCAAAUGAAUUGACGGGGACCCGCACAAGUAGUGGAGCAUGUGGUUUAAUUCGAAGAUACGCGCAGAACCUUACCAACACUUGACAUGUUCGUCGCGACUUUAAGAGAUUAAAGUUUUCGGUUCGGCCGGACGAAACACAGGUGCUGCAUGGCUGUCGUCAGCUCGUGUCGUGAGAUGUUGGGUUAAGUCCCGCAACGAGCGCAACCCUCACUUUUAGUUGCCAUCAUUAAGUUGGGCACUCUGAAAGAACUGCCAGUGAUAAGCUGGAGGAAGGUGGGGAUGACGUCAAGUCCUCAUGGCCCUUACGUGUUGGGCUACACACGUGCUACAAUGGUAUUUACAAAAGGAAGCAAAACGGCGACGUUUAGCAAAUCCUUAAAAAAUACCUCAGUUCGGAUUGCACUCUGCAACUCGAGUGCAUGAAGCUGGAAUUACUAGUAAUCGUGGAUCAGCGUGCCACGGUGAAUGCGUUCCCGGGUCUUGUACACACCGCCCGUCACACCAUGGGAGUUGGUUCUACCUUAAGGCAAGGUUUAAAACCCUUGACCACGGUAUAGUCAGCGACUGGGGUGAAGUCAUAACAAGGUAACCGUA